rnacentral:lncRNA from 1 species
CUGGAAGAGAGUCUCUUUGGAAAGAUGACACCAUUUAUGAUUAGCACAAUGAGCUUUUCUUCAUAUAAUGAUUUUAGUAAUUACCAAUUUUAAUGAGUAAUUAAGGCUGUCAAAAUGACCAAAGACUUUUUGGCCUUUCAAAUCACACAUUCUAUAAAAAGAACAUGGGAAUGAACAUUUGACUUGGCAAAUAAGAAAAAAAAAAAAGAAAGAAAAGAAAACAAUACUUAACAAAACGUACUAUUCAAUGAAAUUUGAUAAUUAAAUUAUUCUGGAACACCCAUUGUUUAUUUGAUAAGCUCUUCAAAAUCCUUUUGUCAUGGCUCUUUAGAAUAUGAAAAAGGAAAUUGAAUGCAGCUGAGAAACCUUCAAAAAUUGAAAGUGAUGUUAGAGCUCAGUCACUUUUUUGAAGAAGAAAAUGCAAACAUGGAGAAGUAAUACUUAAAGGUAUUUACUUUCCAUGAUGUUUACAUUAUUCACUUAUUUAAAAAUCAGGCAUUGAUUCAAAAGAAAUUUUCAAGUGAGAAAAGGCAUUUAAGUUUCCUCUACAGCCUAUCUAUAUGGACAGCUAUAAAUUUGUCCUGUAUGUGAAACUGCUAGUAAUAAAAUUUACUGGCAUAUCAACAUGCAAAGAUAAGAUUCGUUCAGGACUCAUCCCAGAACCAAUAGGGAAGGUUCAUUCAUUAACUUCAAGUUUUUGAAGUUAAAAGCCAUUUUGUGGCUG